rnacentral:rRNA from 1 species
AUUGAACGCUGGCGGCAUGCUUUACACAUGCAAGUCGAACGGUAACAGGCCGCAAGGUGCUGACGAGUGGCGAACGGGUGAGUAAUGCAUCGGAACGUGCCCAGUCGUGGGGGAUAGCGCAGCGAAAGCUGCGCUAAUACCGCAUACGAUCUAUGGAUGAAAGCGGGGGACCGUAAGGCCUCGCGCGAUUGGAGCGGCCGAUGUCAGAUUAGGUAGUUGGUGGGGUAAAGGCUCACCAAGCCAACGAUCUGUAGCUGGUCUGAGAGGACGACCAGCCACACUGGGACUGAGACACGGCCCAGACUCCUACGGGAGGCAGCAGUGGGGAAUUUUGGACAAUGGGCGCAAGCCUGAUCCAGCAAUGCCGCGUGCAGGAAGAAGGCCUUCGGGUUGUAAACUGCUUUUGUACGGAACGAAACGGUCCUGGUUAAUACCUGGGGCUAAUGACGGUACCGUAAGAAUAAGCACCGGCUAACUACGUGCCAGCCGCCGCGGUAAUAC